rnacentral:rRNA from 1 species
AUGUUUGCCCUCAUGCUGCAAGCUCUCAAGUUGCCCCCUGCGAUUUAUCAACACAAGACAUAUCCGAGCAAUGAGUCUCGUGUGACGGUUACUUUCAAUUCAUCGUUACAGUUGAUCGAUGGUUUGCUUGUUCCAACCUCAAUAUCUGGUCUGAUCUCAAAGAACUGUGAUGAAGCGGAAGACAGUGCUGCUAUGGCAGCCAUUAGGUUUAUGGAGGAUAUAUGUGGCAAGGAAACCAGGGAUUAUCACUACAUCCACGUUAAAAGGCUAGAAAAUAAAGUCACACACCUGGUGAGGUUGCUGGUUGCAGCAAACAAGACAAUAAAGAAGGCACGCGGAGGAUGGUACUAUGCUGUCAGAUACAUGAGCUCGUAUUCUACCCAGAUACAAAAUACAACAGCUGCUCGGCGCCUAAGAGGGUGCGACAACACCAAAGCGGCUAUGAAAACAACACUUGCAAGCGCAGAAAUGUUGGCAAAAAGGCUAUGUUAUAUUGGCAUGAAAUCGGAGCAGCGCCUCGAGACCACGGAUAGUAUCUGGUGA